UACCUGGUUGAUUCUCCCAGUAGCAUACGCUUGUCUCAAAGAUCAAGCCAUGCAUGUCUAAAUGCACAAGACUGGUACAGUGAAACUGUGAAUGGCUUAUUAAAUCAACUGUUGUUGACCUUUGAUCACUCCAACCAUUACUUGGAUAACUGUGGUAAUUUCAGAGUUAAUACAUGUCAUUGAGCACUGACCUCUGGGGAUGCAUGCAUUUAUCAGAUCAAAACCAACCCGGGUUCACCCAGCUGCUUUUAUAACCUCUGACCAAUGGCAUGCCAUGUGGUGGUAAAGACUUGCUCAAAUGUCUGCCCUAUCAACUUUCGAUGGUACUUUCUUUCGAUGUGCCUACCAUGGUGACUGCUGGUAAUAGGGACUCAGGGUUUGAUUCUGGAGAGGGAGCCUGAAAAAUGGCUACCACAUCCAAGGAAGGCAGCAGGCACACAAAUUACCCACUCCUGGCCUUGGAAGGAUAGUGACAAAAAAUAACAUUACAGGACUGUUUCAAGGCCUUGUAAUUGGAAUGAGUAUACUUUAAUCCUAAAGUAGGAUCGAUUGCAGGGCAAGUCUGGUGUCAGCAGCUGUGGUAAUUACAGCUCCAAAAGUGCAUAUUGCAGUUAAAAAGCUCAUAGUUGGAUCUUCGGAUGGAGCCGGCAGUCUACCGUGAGGCAAUCUAUCACCUGUCCUUGCCCCUGCCUCUCGGCACCCCCUUGCUGCUCUUAACUGAAUGUCCUUGGGGUCUACAUUGAAAAAAUUAGCGUGUUCAAACAGGCUGGUCACUAGAAUACUCCAGCUAGGAACAAUGGAAUAGCACUCUGGGUCUAUUGUGUUUGUUUUAGGAACUGGGGCCAUGAAUAAGAGGGAUGGCCAGGGGCAUUUGUACUGUGCUGCUAGAGGUGAAAUUCUUGGAUGGGGGCAAGACAAAUGAAAGCAAAAGAGUUUGCCAAGAAUGUUUUUUUAUAAUCAAGAAGGAACAUUGGAGGUUGAAAGAUGAUCAGACACUGUUGUAGUGCCUAUUGUAAAUGAUGCCAACUAAGUUAAAUCUCUUUGCCCUGCACAACGGGCUCCACAAAGUGGCUUCCACGUGAAAGAGGAUAGAGGGCAGGGGAGAAGGAGAUACAAGGAGGGUGGGAGAGAGCAUGA
rnacentral:ncRNA from 1 species